rnacentral:rRNA from 1 species
GGAUGCCUUGGCACUAGAAGCCGAUGAAGGACGUUACUAACGACGAUAUGCUUUGGGGAGCUGUAAGUAAGCUUUGAUCCAGAGAUUUCCGAAUGGGGAAACCCAGCAUGAGUUAUGUCAUGUUAUCGAUAUGUGAAUACAUAGCAUAUCAGAAGGCACACCCGGAGAACUGAAACAUCUUAGUACCCGGAGGAAGAGAAAGAAAAUUCGAUUCCCUUAGUAGCGGCGAGCGAAA